rnacentral:rRNA from 1 species
UACACCUGGCAAGUCGAACGGCAGCAUGAAAAGAGCUUGCUCUUUUUGAUGGCGAGUGGCGGACGGGUGAGUAAUGCGUAGGGAUCUACCUUGUGGCGGGGGAUAACUUGGGGAAACUCGAGCUAAUACCGCAUAAGUUCUACGGAAGAAAGCAUGGGACCUUUCGGGGCCAUGCACCAUAAGAUGAGUCUACGUUGGAUUAGCUUGUUGGUGGGGUAAAGGCCUACCAAGGCGAAGAUCUAUAGCUGGUCUGAGAGGAUGAUCAGCCACACUGGGACUGAGAUACGGCCCAGACUCCUACGGGAGGCAGCAGUGGGGAAUAUUGGACAAUGGGGGCAACCCUGAUCCAGCAAUGCCGCGUGUGCGAAGAAGGCCUGCGGGUUGUAAAGCACUUUAGGUAGGGAGGAAAUGCUUAAGAUGAAUAAGCUUAAGUCUUGACGUUACCUACAGAAUAAGCACCGGCUAACUCUGUGCCAGCAGCCGCGGUAAUACAGAGGGUGCAAGCGUUAAUCGGAAUGACUGGGCGUAAAGGGCGUGUAGGCGGAUAGCUGAGUUAGAUGUGAAAUCUCCGGGCUUAACCUGGGAAGGGCAUUUAAUACUGGCUGAUCUAGAGUAGAGUAGAGGGGAGUGGAAUUUCCGGUGUAGCAGUGAAAUGCGUAGAUAUCGGAAAGAACACCGGUGGCGAAGGCGGCUCUCUGGACUCAUACUGACGCUGAGGCGCGAAAGCGUGGGUAGCGAACAGGAUUAGAUACCCUGGUAGUCCACGCAGUAAACGAUGAAAACUAGAUGUUGGUAGGUUAAACCUAUCAGUAUCGCAGCUAACGCGUUAAGUUUUCCGCCUGGGGAGUACGGCCGCAAGGCUAAAACUCAAAGGAAUUGACGGGGGCCCGCACAAGCGGUGGAGCAUGUGGUUUAAUUCGAUGCAACGCGAAGAACCUUACCUACCCUUGACAUCCUAGAAGCUUUCAGAGAUGAGAGUGUGCCGAAAGGAACCUGGAGACAGUGCUGCAUGCUGUCGUCAGCUCGUGUCGUGAGAUGUGGGUAGUCCGUACGAGCGCACCCUAUCCUAGUGCAGCACAUUAUGGUGGGAACUCUAGGAAACUGCCGGUGAUAA